CCUACGGGUGCAGCAGUGGGGAAUAUUGGACAAUGGGCGAAAGCCUGAUCCAGCCAUGCCGCGUGUGUGAAGAAGGCCUUCGGGUUGUAAAGCACUUUCAGUGGGGAAGAAAGCCUUGGGGCUAAUACCCUCGAGGAAGGACAUCACCCACAGAAGAAGCACCGGCUAACUCCGUGCCAGCAGCCGUGGUAAUACGGAGGGUGCGAGCGUUAAUCGGAAUUACUGGGCGUAAAGCGCGCGUAGGCGGUCUGAUAAGCCGGUUGUGAAAGCCCCGGGCUCAACCUGGGAACGGCAUCCGGAACUGUCAGGCUAGAGUGCAGGAGAGGAAGGUAGAAUUCCCGGUGUAGCGGUGAAAUGCGUAGAGAUCGGGAGGAGUACCAGUGGCGAAGGCGGCCUUCUGGACUGACACUGACGCUGAGGUGCGAAAGCGUGGGUAGCAAACAGGAUUAGAUACCCUAGUAGUC
rnacentral:rRNA from 1 species